rnacentral:rRNA from 1 species
CCUACGGGAGGCUGCAGUGAGGAAUAUUGGUCAAUGGUCGGGAGACUGAACCAGCCAAGCCGCGUGAGGGAGGAAGGUACAGAGUAUCGUAAACCUCUUUUGUCAGGGAACAAAGGCGGGGACGUGUCCCCGGAUGAGUGUACCUGAAGAAAAAGCAUCGGCUAACUCCGUGCCCGCAGCCCCGGUAAUACGGGGGAGGUGGGCGUUAUCCGGAUUUAUUGGGUUUAAGGGGUGCGCAGGCGGUCUGUUAAGUCAGCGGUAAAAGCCCGGGGCUCAACCCCGGCCCGCCGUUGAAACUGGCAGUCUCGAGUUGGAGAGAAGUAUGCGGAAUGCGCGGUGUAGCGGUGAAAUGCAUAGAUAUCGCGCAGAACUCCGAUUGCGAAGGCAGCAUGCCGGCUCCACACUGACGCUGAGGCACGAAAGCGUGGGUAUCGAACAGGAUUAGAUACCCCAGUAGUC